ensembl:snoRNA
CUCCUUUUGUAGUUCAUAAGCAUGACGAUUAGGUGUUCACACACAGGUGUGAGAUGUGCCAUCCUGAAACAUUGUUACAAUGUCGGCAUAUUACCUGUCUGACA